rnacentral:snRNA from 1 species
GGAUGUGAGGGAAAACUGGCUGCAACAUCUGUUACCCUAUUCAUCACCAGGGUUGAUUCCUCUGAUCUGGCUGGCUAGGCGGGUGUCCCCUUCCUCCCUCACUGCUCCAUGUGCGUCCCUCCCGAAGCUGCGUGGUUGGUCCCCGAUAAAGGAGGACUGUUCCUCUGUCAAUGGAAUAUAAGUAGCUGUGCUCCCCUGCUAGAACCUCCAAACAAGCUCUCAAGGAAAGACUAAUGUGCAUUACAUUUAAAACCACUUUCAACACUGCUCAAGAUUG